CAGCAGCCGCGGUAACACGAAGGGGGCUAGCGUUGUUCGGAAUUACUGGGCGUAAAGGGCGCGUAGGCGGCCAUUCAAGUUAGAUGUGAAAGCCCUGGGCUCAACCUAGGAAUUGCAUUUGAUACUGUUUGGCUUGAGUUCGGGAGAGGUGAGUGGAAUUCCCAGUGUAGAGGUGAAAUUCGUAGAUAUUGGGAAGAACACCAGUGGCGAAGGCGGCUCACUGGACCGACACUGACGCUGAGGCGCGAAAGCGUGGGGAGCAAACAGGAUUAGAUACCCGCGUAGUCCCUGUCUCUUAUAC
rnacentral:rRNA from 1 species